rnacentral:rRNA from 1 species
ACUUACGGCCACACCAGUGUGAAUGCACCUAAUCUCGAAAGCUAAACACGCUUGGGCUCGGCCAGUACUUGGAUGGGAGACCGCCUGGGAAUCCUGAGUGCUGUAAGCU